GAUCAGGCGGCGGCCUAACCAUGCAGUCGAGCGGAUGAAGGGAGCUUGCUCCUGGAUUCAGCGGCGGACGGGUGAGUAAUGCCUAGGAAUCUGCCUGGUAGUGGGGGAUAACGUCCGGAAACGGGCGCUAAUACCGCAUACGUCCUGAGGGAGAAAGUGGGGGAUCUUCGGACCUCACGCUAUCAGAUGAGCCUAGGUCGGAUUAGCUAGUUGGUGGGGUAAAGGCCUACCAAGGCGACGAUCCGUAACUGGUCUGAGAGGAUGAUCAGUCACACUGGAACUGAGACACGGUCCAGACUCCUACGGGAGGCAGCAGUGGGGAAUAUUGGACAAUGGGCGAAAGCCUGAUCCAGCCAUGCCGCGUGUGUGAAGAAGGUCUUCGGAUUGUAAAGCACUUUAAGUUGGGAGGAAGGGGGGU
rnacentral:rRNA from 1 species